CUUUCAACAACGGAUCUCUUGGUUCUGGCAUCGAUGAAGAACGCAGCGAAAUGCGAUAAGUAAUGUGAAUUGCAGAAUUCAGUGAAUCAUCGAAUCUUUGAACGCACAUUGCGCCCCCUGGUAUUCCGGGGGGCAUGCCUGUUCGAGCGUCAUUUCAC
rnacentral:rRNA from 1 species